rnacentral:rRNA from 1 species
CUACCGGGGUAUCUAAUCCUGUUUGCUCCCCACGCUUUCGUUCCUCAGCGUCAGUACAUAGCCAGGUGGCCGCUUUCGCCUCUGAUGUUCCUGUUGAUCUCUACGGAUGUCACUCCUACACCAACAAUUCCACCACCCUCUCUAUGACUCAAGAAUCACAGUUUCAAAUGCACGUCCCGAGUUAAGCUCGGGGAUUUCACACUUGACUUACAAUCCCGCCUACGAACCCUUUACGCCCAAUAAUUCCGAACAACGCUCGCACCCUUCGUAUUACCGCGGCUGCUGGCAC